UGGGGAAUAUUGCACAAUGGGCGCAGGCCUGAUGCAGCCAUGCCGCGUGUAUGAAGAAGGCCUUCGGGUUGUAAAGUACUUUCAGCGGGGAGGAAGGCGGUGAAGUUAAUAGCUUCACCGAUUGACGUUACCCGCAGAAGAAGCACCGGCUAACUCCGUGCCAGCAGCCGCGGUAAUACGUAGGUG
rnacentral:rRNA from 1 species